rnacentral:rRNA from 1 species
AACGAACGCUGGCGGUAUGCUUAACACAUGCAAGUCGAACGAGAAAGUCUCUUCGGAGAUGAUUAAAGUGGCGCACGGGUGAGUAACGCGUAGAUAAUCUGCCCCUCAGCCUGGGACAACUUUCCGAAAGGAGAGCUAAUACCGGAUAACACCUUUUUUCGAGUGGAGAAAGGUUAAAAGAUUUAUCACUGAGGGAUGAGUCUGCGUAACAUUAGCUUGUUGGUGAGGUAAAGGCUCACCAAGGCGACGAUGUUUAGCGGGUCUGAGAGGAUGAUCCGCCACACUGGAACUGAGACACGGUCCAG